GAUGAACGCUAGCUACAGGCUUAACACAUGCAAGUCGAGGGGCAGCGGGAUUGAAGCUUGCUUCAAUUGCCGGCGACCGGCGCACGGGUGAGUAACGCGUAUCCAACCUUCCGUACACUCAGGGAUAGCCUUUCGAAAGAAAGAUUAAUACCUGAUGGUAUCUUAAGCACACAUGUAAUUAAGAUUAAAGAUUUAUCGGUGUACGAUGGGGAUGCGUUCCAUUAGGUAGUAGGCGGGGUAACGGCCCACCUAGCCAACGAUGGAUAGGGGUUCUGAGAGGAAGGUCCCCCACAUUGGAACUGAGACACGGUCCAAACUCCUACGGGAGGCAGCAGUGAGGAAUAUUGGUCAAUGGACGAGAGUCUGAACCAGCCAAGUAGCGUGCAGGAUGACGGCCCUAUGGGUUGUAAACUGCUUUUAUAAGGGAAUAAAGUAGAGUCUCGUGAGACUUUUUGCAUGUACCUUAUGAAUAAGGACGGCUAAUUCCGUGCCAGCAG
rnacentral:rRNA from 1 species